UAUAAUGAUUGGACAUUUAUAUGCCUUAUGAAAUGAUUGCCAGCAUGCGUCUGGUAGCCAUCUAGCUCGUGUAAAGCUAUUACGUUAUUAUUACGUUAUUCCCUGCGCUGUGUAUUUCAUCUCUGUAUCUUUUUUUUUAUUCUGUAACUUCAGGUUAGUCCUUCUUAAUCCCCUUCAGUCAUUUUGGCAGCCGCCGGGGUAUUCUCCGGUUCUGUAGGUCUGCUCUCGUUUCGUUUUGUUCUUUAGAUUCCACACGUGACAGCCGGUGGCAUUUGUCUUUCUCUGACUUAUUUCACUUUGCCAAAGGCCCUCUAGAUCCACCCAUGGUGUCACAAAUAUGAAACAUUUUAUUUUAUCUUUAUGAUUACCUUUGGAAAUGUUAGUUCAUUAACCUUGGCAGUGUCGGGUCUCUGCCGCUGUGUGAGGCUUUCUCUUGUCGUGGAGUACGGGCUCUCCAGUACUGGCAGCUCGCAGGCUCAGCUGCUGUGGUGUGUGGGUUCUGCUGUUCCGAGGCACGUGGGGUCUUCCUGGAGCGUGGAUGGAAUCCAUGUCUCCCGCAUUGGCAGGUGGGUUCUCAACCACUGGGCCACCAGGGAAGCCCAGCUCAGUCACGUCCGACUCUUUGCGACCCCAGUGACUGCAGCACGCCAGGCCUCCCUGUCCUUCACUAUCUCCUGGAGCUUGCUCAAACUCAUGUCCAUUGAGUUGGUGAAGCUGAUCCAUCUGUCUCAUCCUCUGUCAUCCCCUUCUCCUCCUGCCUUCAAUCUUUCCCAGCAUCAGGGUCGUUUCCAGUGAGUCAGCUCUUUGCAUCAGGUGGCCAAGGUAUUGGAGUUUCAGCUUCAGCAUUGGUCCUUCCAGUGAAUAUUUUCAGGACUGAUCUCCUUUAGGAUGGACUGCUUGGAUCUCCUUGCAGUCCAAGGGACUCUCCAGAGUCUUCUCCAACACCACAGUUCAAAAGCAUCAAUUCUUCGACACUCAGCUUUCUUUAUAGUCCAACUCUCACAUCCAUACAUGACCACUGCAGAAUACAGUACCUAGUUUUGUGUGUAAUUUAUUUCAAUAUGCACAAGAGUAACAGCUUCUGUGCACUGGCUGAUGUGUCUAGAUUCUGUUAUUGCAUAGGUUCACCAGUUUCCAAAACAUCCACUAACUUGCUUGUAUAUGGAAGGAGCACAGUACUUAUACAGUAAAUAAACAAUACCUGUGUCCUGAAAGGGUGACUUGGUCCAGCCGGAGACCAACCACAGAUCUGUACUGUCCUCCAACUCCUAGACCUACCUGAAGUCUACCAAAACCCUCCUGAAGAAAGAUCCCUUCCCGUCGUGGCUGGGACCUCUGCCAUUGGGGUCCUCCCUCUCCUCUUCCUCCUCCUCUUUUUCCUCUGCUUGUGCUGCUGCGGAGGUCAACACGGCGGUUCCAGUGAUAAUGAGACCAAGAGCCAGCUGGAUUUUAACAGCUCCAACCCUGGCAUGGACUUCUCAGAAGAAAAUCCGGACGGUGUCUCGGUGCACCUCCCGCCAGAGGAGGACAGGCGGACGGACAUGCAGGUGCGUCUCCCUGGCCCCUCCCCCGGCCCCUCCCCUGGGGCUCGCCCCUCACUUUGCGUCUCCAAGGUCCACCCGGAGGAAUGCCCGUGGGGCUCUUCUGAGUCCUCCGCUGAGCCGCACCAGGAUUCCUUCACGGAGAGUGAGGUUUCACUCCCGUCUUGCAGCCCUGAGGACUCCUCAGUAUAGCCCCGCAUGGACCCGCCUUCACCUCGUCCAGAGAGCGGAGCUGGAGCUGGCUGUGUGCACUCCACGGCACAAGGGCCCCUUAAGGAGUGUGCGGAUUCUUUUACCACUGCGCGACUUGGGAAGCCCCAGUCCUCAUUUUGGAGCUCCCCGAAGACUUGAGAAUACAGAAGCCUUGUCAGUCGUCAAGAAAUUCUGGGAUACGAGAGAUGGGACAUUUCCUGCCGUAUCAGUGAACAAAGGGCAUCACAGUCAAGAGCAAUGACGGCCACCACGGCUGCUGAGCUGGUGAGCCCUGAGGGCACUCGGAAGGAAAGGACACGGCCGUCUAGCAGCCAUCAGAUUGCUGCCACACUGAGGGUGAGCCCGGAGCGAACUCGGGAUGUGAAAACAGCAGGAUCCUGGCCCCAGACAGCUGAGGCGCGCAUCGGAGCAAUGAUUUCAGCGAGCCCAGACGCUUCCAUCUUCCCAUACGUAGAAAAGCGCUAAAUUCCUUAACUUGGGAUAGCGGGUUUUCUUUAAUUGGCGGUAGCGUUCGAGGUUCAGAUUAUCUGCCUUUUGUUGCGAAGCUUCUUUAUUACCUGCCCCCUCCCCUCGCCUCCUCUGAGCAGUUCUCUCGGGAUUACUUGGGAUGCUACUUCCCGGGCUUGAGUCCUAGGAAUAUCUGACGAAUAACACAAAACUCUC
ensembl:lncRNA